CAAGGCUUUCUUCAUUGUAACCAGUCCCUGAUGGUAAUUGGUUGAAUCAGAUUUAACAAUGCAGUCAGAUAAACAGUUGUGGCAGCUGCUGCCAUGGCAACGUCACCGUCCUCACCCUCCCAGUGCGCGCCCCUUCCCCACCCCUCCUCCUCCUCCUGCUUUCCUCCAGUAAGUGCAUACUCGCUAGUGGUCUGUACAGGCGGCAGGGUUUAAUGACUAUAACGGUGUCAAGCGUCGCUUUUUAAAAAGGCAGGUGCAAACUGCUGCUUUUUGAGAAUAGGAAAGAGACCACGUUUCAUAAUGGAUAUGUUGACUGGAGCAUGGUGAAGUGAGCAGAGAUAAGGUGUAUUCGGCAAGUGGAUUACUGAGGAUUGUGGCCACUGAUGGAUGCUUCUGCUGCUAACUGGGUACUGAGAGAGUCAUUUUAUUUUUAGAAUGGGUGAGUUUAAAAGGAAAUGUUAAGCCAGGUGGAUUGGGAAGCCAAGGGAAGAUUUGGGGCCAGAUGUGUUUGCUCUGUGAUGAUCUUGAGAUGGCUAGACAGCAAAUGCCUUUUGGUUGCAUGCUAAGUGUAUUCUUCCUAAGGAGAAAAGACUGUUGUGACAGGAGAAAUAUGAUCCCCAGCAUGAUAUUUCUUUGGUUUGCUUAGCUCCUCUGCAGUUUUCCCAGACAUUAAUGUGAUAGCUCUUUCAUUGAUUAAGAUAAACAGCUGAAGAUAUUAUGGGGUAGGGUGUUGGGCACACAAAGCCACCCGUAGGAUUUCUUACCCUGGCAUACAUUCCCACACCCUUGGUUUUCAUGGAAAUGAUACCAGUGAGAAACAGUGGGAAAAGAUGCAAACUAUUCGGCCCCACCCAGUGCCAGCACUUCUUUCUUUAUGGCCUGACUCGUGGUAAACUGUUGCAGCUCUUUGAGCCCCACCUCUGAUAGAGAUGCCUUUUAAAUAAAGUCUCCUAAAAUCCAUUUAUUUCCUGAGUCAAUAAUGUGGGUGGGAUCUAGGAUUCUAAUGUAAAUGAUUUCCAAUGCUAGAUGGUUUUGGGUUUUGAAUGAACAGAUGUGGAAAAUAAGUAUCAUGAACAAGUGAGUAUUUUUUAUUGUGGUUAUGUUGAAAUUGCAUUGUGCUUCAAAACGAUAGGUCUCUGAUGUAUUAAAUGUCUCAUACUCUAAAAAAUUCAAAAUAAUUCAAAACCUCUGAUAUUUAAAAAAAUUCAUUAUAUUAGCAAACAAGGGAUUGGUGCAUGUGUACAAUGCCAUGUAAUUUGAUAAAAAUGAGCAUGCCCACAUAUGACAAUUUUUAAAUAAUAGCAUGAAGACAGUGAUGCAAUCUGAUGAAGGCAAGAGGAUAAUUCAGGGCAGGCAGGAACAUUGGUAGAAUGUCCUUUUGUAUCUAAGGAUUCUGGGUCCUCCAGCCCUGGAGGGCAUUUUCAUAGAGUGUUAGCUAAUUGAUCAACAUUAAAAAAAAUACCAUUAAAAAAGAGAAUGAGAGUGAGAGACAGGGAAAAAGAAAGAAAAGGGGAAUUUUUGCUUGAAUUCACAAUAUGAUUUCAAAAUCCUCUAAAUUUCUCUCUGCAGUCUCUGUGCUGUAUUGGAAACAAUAUACUCCAAACUAUUAAAGGGGUGGAGAAUGUAUCUCAAGAAGAUUUUAAGCUCUGAGUGGUGAUGCUAAAUUCCAGGACCAAAGCUAUCGUAAAGUAUCUGAAGAAGUAGAGAAGACAAAGUCAUCAUAUGUGAUAACUAUAGUAUUUUUCAAGCUCCAUUUUCUUAAAUAUAUUUAUUUUAGGAAUAAAUUCUUUUCCAAACGCAGUCAGUAUGAUAGCAAUUAGUGGCAAGUUUUGAAUGAGUGCUUAUGUUUGUGUAUACAUUAGGAGACCUAUAUUAAAUGAACUGCUAAACACGGUGAAUUUUGAGUUUUAAAAGUAAUUUCACCUAAAAAGUAAUUUCACACACACACAUAUCCUUCAGUUUGGCAAGUCAGACGUAAGUGGGUUUGAAUCUUAACUCUGUCCUUUAAUGUUGUGUGUUUGGAGACUAUCACUUAAUUUCUCUGAUCCAGGUUCUCAUCUGUGAAUAGUUGUGUAUACCUUUUGGUAUUUUGUGAGAAUUAGAAAUAAUGUGUAUAAAAUUCUUUGAGCAGUAUUUAAUAUAUAGUUUAUCACAGUAACUUUUACGUAUUGUUGCUGUUCUCUUUAACAGAAAUUAUUUAUUGGAAUAAAUCAUGUAAAGGAAAGUCUAUCUAUAUUUUUGGGAGGGGCAAAAUAUGCUAUUGGUACUUUGCAAAUGCUGUUAGUCGUUUUUCAAAACAUCAAAAGUUAUAUCCUAUAUUCAGACAAAAUUAUAUGCUGUAAUUGGAAACUUUGUGUCUCAUGCAAAUGAUUGAGAUUUACAUAAAUGUACCCUAGGUCUUUAGAUUCCUGCUUCACAUCUUUUGCACAGCAGGCAACUUAAAUUUUCAUAUUUAGAAACUUCUAAAUUGUCCAAGUCAGAAAACACCAGACAUCCCCCUCUCUUGAAUAAAUUUAAUAGACCAUUAAAUGUGCCUUGAUGAGGAAAUAAUAAUCAAGAGAUAAGCAUCCCUAAUAAGGGUGAAAUCUGAGAAAAGCAAGAAUUGGAGCAGAGUCAAUGCCAUUUUACUUGAAUUCAAUUAUCUGUUUUUCUACUAGAGGCUCAAACCGAAUCCACUGUAUGAUUCUGUGUAAGUAUCCAGGAUUAUGGACCACCAGGCCUACUGUGGCCUGGGUGUUGAUCUAACACGUUGAAUCACAUUUUUGGGAAACAUUCCUCCUCUUUGGGUAAAUAUUUAACAGAUGAGCCAUAAUCCACUUGUUUAUUCUACACUUGACAAAAGCAAUUCUUCUGAGGGACAGAACUAAAUCGUCCCUUACAAUAAAACCCACAAUGUGAGAACAUAAACUCAAGGAGCUUAUUUAAUAUUAGAAUUUUGGUGAGUAUCUGGAAGAUAGAAAUUCUUUUAGCUUUGCUUAAGAAUAUUCUGGCUUCAGUAAUUGAGCUUCAAUGCCCCCCAUACAGAGACAACCGGGAACACAUCUCUGGUUGGAUGUGUUGGGGUCACGAGUCACUGCAGUGAGGGAGGAUGCACAUCACAAAAUAGAAGCGACUCAUAAGAGUUGGGCUUUAAAUGAGUGAUUUGGGAGAGGGUACAAGAAAGUGGGGGCUUACUCUGAGUUGUGUGCUCUUAGAAAGCAGGAACAGGUUUGUGACUGUGCAGUCCAAUAAAUCUUACCUCUGGGAGGGCAGACUACAUCUGUAGUCAGUAAAGAAGUGGCACCCUCUCAGUCAGCAAGAGGGGGAUACCUGGUAUUUUGUGGCUUAGACGAUGUUCAUAUUUUGUCUGUGUGUAGACGUAAUAAGGGAGUGGUGCCAUUUUUGGUUCCUCUCCAUCCUGGUCACAGAGAGGGCUGGUCUGAUGUUGAUGUUCUGAGAAAUGAGUUACAUUCAGCAGGAGAACACCAAGGUCCAGGCUGAUCGUAAUAGGUCAGCUCCUGGAUGUUAUUGACUGCUUUUCUCUUUCUCAAGCGUACACACAAAAAUAAUUUUGGAGAGAGAGACAGAUUUGUUUAUUACCGGAUGCUCUUUAGAGUCCAAGGAACAUGAAUCAGAGUAUUAUUGAUACUAGAAUAAAAAAAAAA
rnacentral:lncRNA from 1 species